AUCAGGAUGGCGACUCUACAUUUGCACAAAAUGCCUGUCACCAUGAACAAGAUUGUAUUGAAUACUAUUUUCAUCAGGGAUACAAGUAUCAUGACAUCA